rnacentral:piRNA from 1 species
UAGGGAUCAUCAGACCAUUUGCCAAGAUGG